UCGCAAGUGGUGACGGAAUGGCAAGUUUUUCGGCGAUGUCGUAAAAUGGCGAUGACGUGUUUGAACCGUCGGUUUCACUAUAUUUCGUGGUGAUGGAGUUGUGUGUUUAAACUGUGGAUGAUGGUGAUAAUGGAACUGAUAUAUUUCGUGGUGAUGGAGUUGUGUGUUUAAACUGUGGAUGAUGGUGAUAAUGGAACUGUUUGGUUUAUGAAGCUUGAAGAUUUUGAGUGAUGGUGUUGUUGUUGUUUUAUGAAGCUUGAAGUUUU
rnacentral:lncRNA from 1 species